rnacentral:rRNA from 1 species
AUUGAACGCUGGCGGCAGGCCUAACACAUGCAAGUCGAGCGAGCGGCGGACGGGUGAGUAAUGUAUGGGGAUCUGCCCGAUAGAGGGGGAUAACUACUGGAAACGGUGGCUAAUACCGCAUACUAUCGGAUGACCCCAUAUGGGAUUAGCUAGUAGGUGGGGUAAAGGCUCACCUAGGCGACGAUCCCUAGCUGGUCUGAGAGGAUGAUCAGCCACACUGGGACUGAGACACGGUCCAGACUCCUACGGGAGGCAGCAGUGGGGAAUAUUGCACAAUGGGCGCAAGCCUGAUGCAGCCAUGCCGCGUGUGUGAAGAAGGCCUUAGGGUUGUAAAGCACUUUCAGCGGGGAGGCGUUACCCGCAGAAGAAGCACCGGCUAACUCCGUGCCAGCAGCCGCGGUAAUUC